rnacentral:rRNA from 1 species
AGGACGAACGCUGGCGGCGUGCCUAACACAUGCAAGUGGAGCGACGAACCAGGCUUCGGCCUGGGGCAAAGCCGCGAACGGGUGAGUAACACGUGGGUAACCUGCCCCGAUGACCGGGACAACCCGAGGAAACUCGGGCUAAUACCGGAUGUGUCCUCCGGCCAUAAGGCCGCUGGGGAAAGGAAGCUUCGGCCUCCGCAUCGGGAUGGGCCCGCGGCCCAUUAGCUUGUUGGUGAGGUAACGGCUCACCAAGGCGACGAUGGGUAGCUGGUCUGAGAGGACGAUCAGCCACACUAGGACUGAGACACGGCCCAGACUCCUACGGAGGCAGCAGUGGGGAAUAUUGGACAAUGGGGGCAACCCUGAUCCAGCAAUGCCGCGUGAGUGAUGAAGGCCUUAGGGUUGUAAAGCUCUUUCGGCGGGGACGAUGAUGACGGUACCCGCAGAAGAAGCCCCGGCUAACUUCGUGCCAGCAGCCGC